rnacentral:rRNA from 1 species
AACCGCGGUUAUACGAAAGGCCCAAGUAGACAAUCUUCGGCGUAAAGAGUGGUUUAUUUUAUCUUACUAAAGCCAAACACCCUCAAGACUGUCAUACGUGUUCGAGAACACAGUAGGUCCCCCCACGAAAGUAGCUUUACUUUAUUAAUACCACUAAAGCUGAGGCA